rnacentral:hammerhead_ribozyme from 1 species
AUCCAGCUGAUGAGUCCCGAACAGGACGAAACACGCGUCCUCGAU